rnacentral:tRNA from 1 species
AAUUAAUUAGUAUAUUAGUACAUUUAAUUUCCAAUUAAAUAGAUUGAAAAAAUUUCAAAUUAAUUA